AAUUCCCUGCCGGGCACGUGAUGCCACGGAGUUCUUGAACCAACACUUUCGUUCAGGGUGUUCCGGUGGCCGGCGAAGUCGAGCCGCCGCAGACGUCCCAGGAAGCCAGCGUCCGGAAACGGGCGGGGGCGGGGACGGAUCGGCGGAGGACCGACCCGGUCGAAGGAGCGCCCACCUGGUUCGCCAGGUUACAAGAACCCAAUGGCACACGGCUUUUCGGCGGGGAAUCU
rnacentral:other from 1 species